ACCCAGCCAGCUGUCAAUAACUCUGCCUACUUCCUGUUUCCUGCUGCAGAGCCCGCCCACCAAGGAAGCUACAGCUGUGUUUAUCACGUCUAUGUUUUUUCUCAUAACUUGUCCUCUGAGAGCCGUCUGCUCUCCAUCACUGUCUCAGGACUCCAGUCUGAAGGCACUAACACAUCAAUGGAACCUGUCAGGUUGGUGGGAGGAGUCAGUCGCUGUGCAGGAACACUGGAGAUGAAAUAUGAAGGAGACUGGAGACCAGUAGAUGGCUUUCACUGGACCCUGAAGGAAGCAGCUGUUUUCUGUAGAGAGCUGGACUGUGGCUCUGCUUUUUCUAUGGGAUGGAGAGAGGAGUCCUCACAUAGAUCUGUGUGGUUCAUCAACACUGACUGUGUUCAGUCUGGAUCUGCUUUUAUGGAUUGUGUAACAUCAGGUUCCUCUCCCUCCAUCCUGGAUCUCACCU